AUGCCGCCUCCCCUGCGCCACCUGCUGCCGCUGCUCCUCGCGGCGGCCGCGGCCUCCACGGCCGCCGCGUUCGUGCUGGAGGAGGCCACGGUCGAGUCCAUCCACCGCGCCUUCGCCACCGGCGAGCUCACCUCCCGCGGCCUCGUCGAGCUCUAUGUGCGCCGCAUCGCGUCCCUCGACCCGGCCCUCCACGCCGUCGUCGAGAUCGAUGCCGAUGGCGCGCUCGCCGCAGCCGACCGCGCCGAUGCCGCCCGCCUCGAGCUCGAGGGCGCGGCGCUCCCGCCUCUCCACGGCAUCCCCGUGCUGAUCAAGGACAACAUCGCGGCGGCCGGCGACGGAUCCGGGAGGCUGAACGCGACGGCCGGGUCGCUCGCGCUGGUCGGGUCCCGCCCCGCCCGCGACGCCGGCGUGGUCGAGAGGCUCCGGUGCGCCGGCGCGGUCGUCCUCGGCACCGCCAGCCUCAGCGAGUGGUGCAACUUCCGCGGCCCCCGCAUCCCCGCCGGCUGGAGCCCCCGCGCCGGCCAGGGCAUUAAUCCGUAUGUGCCGUCAGCGACGCCGUGCGCGUCCAGCAGCGGCUCCGCCAUUGCCGCGGCGGCGAACAUGGUGGCGGUGACGAUUGGGACGGAGACGGACGGCUCCAUCAUGUGCCCGUCCAGCUUCAACUCCGUUGUCGGAAUCAAGCCGACGGUCGGCCUCACAAGCCGCGCCGGCGUGAUCAUCAUAUCUCCAAGGAUGGACACAAUCGGGCCAAUAUGUAGGACAGUUUCAGAUGCAGUGCAUGUGUUGGAGGCAAUGGUAGGCUAUGAUCCACGGGAUGCGGAGGCAACUCGCACGGCAUCUCGGUAUAUCCCGAAAGGCGGUUAUGGGCAAUUCUUGAACAUAGAUGGUCUAAGGGGCAAGAGGGUUGGGAUUCUCAGGAAGGACUUCUUCCGGUUCGCCCCAGGCUCCAUCCAAGAAAAGGUGUUCAGAGACCACUUUAACACUAUGAGGCAACUGGGGGCCAUCUUGGUGGACAAUCUUGAGAUACCAACCAUGAAAGUCAUCAAUGAUGCGGUACAAAGCGGCGAACGUGCUCUUAUGCUCGCCGAGUUCAAGCUGUCCCUCAACUCUUACUUGUCUGAACUGGCUACCUCACCUGUUAGAUCAUUAUCAGACAUAAUUGACUUCAACAACAAGAACCCUGUCGAGGAAAGGAUGGCUGAAUUUGGCCAGAGUUACCUUCUGCAGUCUGAAGCAACAAAUGGCAUUGGUCCUGCUGAGGAGCGUGCCAUUGCCAAACUGAACAAACUGUGUGAGGAAGGCCUUGAGAAGAUAAUGCGAGCCAAUCAACUGGACGCGAUCGUCGCACCCGGCGCGUCUGCUCAUAGCCUGCUUGCCAUCGGCGGCUAUCCAGCAAUAACCGUCCCAGCUGGAUAUGCUUCAAACGGCGUUCCUUUUGCGAUUUGCUUUGGGGGGUUGAAAGGAUCAGAGCCGAUGCUUAUUGAGAUUGCUUAUUCCUUUGAGCAGGCAACGAAAGUUAGGAAACCUCCAAUAUUGCAGCAUUCUGUCAUUUGA
rnacentral:rRNA from 1 species